CGGCCUUAGUGGCGCAGGGUGCGUAACGCGUGGGAAUCUGCCCUUGGGUUCGGAAUAACAGUUAGAAAUGACUGCUAAUACCGGAUGAUGUCGUAAGACCAAAGAUUUAUCGCCCAAGGAUGAGCCCGCGUAGGAUUAGCUAGUUGGUGAGGUAAAGGCUCACCAAGGCGACGAUCCUUAGCUGGUCUGAGAGGAUGAUCAGCCACACUGGGACUGAGACACGGCCCAGACUCCUACGGGAGGCAGCAGUGGGGAAUAUUGGACAAUGGGCGAAAGCCUGAUCCAGCAAUGCCGCGUGAGUGAUGAAGGCCUUAGGGUUGUAAAGCUCUUUUACCCGGGAUGAUAAUGACAGUACCGGGAGAAUAAGCUCCGGCUAACUUCGUGCCAGCAGCCGCGGUAAUACGAGGGGAGCUAGCGUUAUUCGGAAUUACUGGGCGUAAAGCGCACGUAGGCGGCUUUGUAAGUUAGAGGUGAAAGCCCGGGGCUCAACUCCGGAAUUGCCUUUAAGACUGCAUCGCUUGAAUCCAGGAGAGGUGAGUGGAAUUCCGAGUGUAGA
rnacentral:rRNA from 1 species